UGCUUUAUUUAUAUAUAUAGGGAUUUUCCACAUGUCCACAUGUUUGUUCAUAUUCAAUCUUCCUAGUUUUCUACCUUCUAUUUUUGUGAAGCGCUACUGGUUUUUUUUUUUCUUUUUUUCUUUNNNNUGAGAAAUUCUGCCAGACUGCAAUAAUUCCCCAAGCUACUGCAAAUACCAUUAUACCAACCACUUCCAAAAGUUGAAAUCAUAACUACAUACCAUAUUUGAACUUCAGAUUUUGAAAU
rnacentral:misc_RNA from 1 species